CAAUAGCCGCGGGAAUACGAAGGGUGCAAGCGUUAAUCGGAAUUACUGGGCGUAAAGCGUGCGUAGGCGGUGAGUUAAGUCUGCUGUGAAAUCCCCGGGCUCAACCUGGGAAUGGCAGUGGAUACUGGCAAGCUAGAGUGUGUCAGAGGAUGGUGGAAUUCCCGGUGUAGCGGUGAAAUGCGUAGAGAUCGGGAGGAACAUCAGUGGCGAAGGCGGCCAUCUGGGACAACACUGACGCUGAGGCACGAAAGCGUGGGGAGCAAACAGGAUUAGAUACCCGUGUAGUCCCUGUCUCUUAUAA
rnacentral:rRNA from 1 species